rnacentral:lncRNA from 1 species
UCCCUGGCCCCCCUCAGUGGGUUAAUUAUCCAGCAUUGCCAUGAACUCCGGUAUAGUUCGCAGACACUGCUCGGAUCCCAUGUUUCUAUGGCUGUGGCCGGCAGCUGUAGCUUGAUUUGACUCCUAUGACAAAGGUAAAUGCAAGUUCGAAACAGAGAUUGAGUUUGGUUAUAGGAAAGAAAGAAGUUCUAUGUAUCGUAUUCUCAACUACAAGCUUUGAAUAUGUAACUAUUCCAUAUGGUUGCAAAGGGGAUCUGUUGAACAAAAGUGUUCAUGUCCUUGUGAGGUAUGUUUCAACAGAUAUGAGAGCUUGCAGAGAGGAUGUCUGCCUGACUCUUUGCAGAAAGUUAUUUCUUGGCUGCUUUAGCUCCUGGCAGAUACUCAGGUAAGAAACCCAUCUUUAAAGCCCCAUACACUUAGUCCCUACCUUGUAUGAGGAGAUAUUAUAAAGAGCAUGACUUUUGAAUAGCCUAGAGCCAUAAUUUAUCUUAGGCCUAAAUGGGUAAAACUUGUGAAAUUGUCUCCUUUUUAUGUGAAGUUCAGUCUGUGAUUUGUUUUAGCAAGAUAAGUUCUGGCUAAAGGUAACGAUAAGAGAAGUCCUCGUGACCGCAAAGUUAAUGUACAGAGACAAGGCCAGUGUAGAGGAAAAUGUUAAAAGCCUUUAUUUAUUUAUUUGUUUGUUUAUUUAUUUAUCUAUCUUUUUAGGGCCACACCUGCAGCAUACGGAGGUUCCCAGGCUAGGGGUCUAAUUGGAGCUGUUGCUGCUGGCCUACGCCAGAGCCAUAACAACACCAGAUCUGAGCCAUGUCUGUGACCCACACCACAGGUCACGGCAACACCAGUUCCCUAACUAGAUGAGCGAGGCCAGGGAUUGAACCCGCAACUUCAUGGUUCCUAGUCGGAUUCGUUUCUGCUGCGUCACGACCAGAACUUUGUAAUACCCUUAUUCUAAUUACCACAUCCAGGGCAUUCCCAUUAUAGCUCAGUAGAUUAGGAACCUGACUAGUAUCCAUGAGGACUCAGGUUCAAUGCCUGGCCUUACUCAGUGGGUUAAGGAUUCAGCAUUGCUGUGGUUGUGGUGUAGGCUGGCAGCUACAACUGUGAUUGGACCUCUAGCUUAGGAACUUCCAUAUGCCACACGUGUGGCCCUGAAAAGUUAAAAAAAAAAAAAAAUCAGAAAAGAAUCAGACUGCAGAGGUUUGGGUAGCUGCUGAGGCAUGGGUUACAGUCCCUGACCCAGUGCAAUGGGUUAGACUCCUGCAUUGCUGCAGCUGUGGUGUAGCUGUGGUGUAGUUUGCAGCUGUGGCUCAGAUUCAAUCCUCUGGCCCAGGUACUUCCAUAUGCCCUGGGUGUGGCCGUUUAAAAAAAAAAAAAAAAGUCAUUGUCUUUGCUAGGUCCACGUGAAUGUUCCAUCCUAUUCUUUUACUAGCUACAUUUAGGUGAAAAAAUACACCAUUCAUUUAGCCUUGGAAUCCACUUGAAAACUCUCACUAGGACUUAGAUUUUGGUUCAUCUUUCUUUCUUUUUUUGUCUUUUUAGGGCCACACCCGGGGCAUAUGGAGGUUCCCAGUCUAGGAGUCUAAUCAGAGCUGUAGCUGUUGGCCUACACCACAGCUCAUGGCAAUGCCGGAUCCUUGACCUGCUGAGCAAGGCCAGGGAUCGAAUCUGCAGCCUCAUGGUUCCUAGUUGGGUUCGUUUCCACUGAGCCACGAUAGGAACUCUGGUUCCUCUUUCUUGUAAAGCACAGUAUAUGUUUGUCAUCCUCUGAGCACCCUGGCAAGUGUGCUGAGGGUGAUGUUAUUUUCUCACAGUGCAGACAGUGUUUUCCAUGGCUUUGUGCUCUGUCUCCCACUGGGGCCUGGUCAGGCAAGCUGUGUGUAUACUUCUUAAGAAGGCUGAUUGUUGUGAAAACCUUUGCCACAAACAGAAAUAUGGCAUUGGUUCUUUCAGUUACGACUGCCAGCAACUUUGCUCUUAUAACUUCUGGAACACAGUUGCAUCAGUUCAGACAUGUGACUGGGAAGAAAUAUUAGCUCAAGGACCAUCUGGUUAAGACUGAGCAGUAUUUCCCUUGGUGGAUGGCAAAACAGCAGAAUGCCCCAGGCACAUCUGCCUUGGUUCCCAGUGCUUAAAGGAUUCACAAACUGACUGGUUCUGACCCAGCCUCAUAAAGGUGGGUUUGCCACAGAGGAAGAUGGCAUGAUCCUCACCUCAGGUCUCAUGCCUUUUGGAGCACUUUCAGGGGCCUUUGUGUUACUGCAGUUAACCUAAGGAGUGUUGCUUUAGGACAAAUCUAAUUUAGCUAAAAUUAUUCAUUCAUUCAUGUACUUGUUCAUUAAUAUUUAUGAACAGAUACUGUCCUAGGACUAGAGACACAGAGAUAAGAUUUAAUUUCUGCUCCUAAGAGUUCAUGCCGUUGGGUGAGGAUCUAAGAGAGGGAGAGAGGAGAGAUAUAUAAAUAGAUGUUGAUAAUACAGAACCCUUCCCUCACUUUUUAAAAAUGUGAAAUAGGCUUUGUCCUGCUAUGACAAGUAAAGGAUUAAUCGGUUCAUUUAAUCAGCAAACAUUUGCCAAAUGCCUGCUUUGUGCCAGGAGAUAUGCCAGGUGCUGUGCCUACAAGGGAAUCCACUAAAAGAGCAGCCUGACAGUAAUGUCAGGAAGAUCCAAGAAGCACCUCCCUCAUCUCCCUUUGCCUCCUUUCCAUUGCCCUUUCACCUAACCCUCUGAGGAUGGUCAAUGACAGUAUGAUAUGAGGUGGCAGCAGUUCCUAAUCCUUUUUGGAUCCCAAAGAGGACAAGCGCUUGAAAAGGGAACUUCAGAAAGAAGCAGAACUGCAAUGUAAACAUCACCUCAACCCUACCAACCAUUUUCCCCCCCUUGCCUUUAUUUAAACACACAAGCAGCUUCAUUCAAGGCAGUGAGGCAGCAACUCAAGUUAUUGGAAGAAGGGAGAAAUAGAACAUCCAGAGUAUGAAAACUUUGCCAAUGACUGCUUACAUCUUUGGUGAGUCACCAUUUUAGUAAAUGUAAGGCAAACCUCAGAAAUGAAUGGAGGCUAUCAAGGGGAGUAAUGAAUAUGACAUCUGUACAAGUAUUUCUAUAAUGCUUUUUAUUUACCAAGCACCCCCCCCCCAGACAUAUUAGUUCACUGAAAAAGAAAUAAACUAUUUUUUAAAAAAAGAAAAUUUAGGGCCACACCCUCAGCAUAUGGAGGUUCCCAGGCUAGGGAUCCAAUCAGAGCUACAGCCUCUGGCCUACACAACAGUCACAGCAAUGCAAGAUCCGAGCCAUGUUGGUGACCUACAUUACAGCUCACAGCAAUGCUGGAUCCUUAACCUACUGAGUGAGGCCAGGGAUCUAACCUGCAUCCUCAUGGAUACUAGUAGGGCUCGUUACCACUGAGCCACAAUGGGAACUUCCUAGAUGAACUCAUUUGAUCCUCCCAACAUCUCCAUGAAUUGGGUACUGUAAUAUCAUCCCCAUAUUACAGACUUGAAAACUGGGGAUGGAGAAGUUGAGUGUCUUGCCUCAAGUCAUACAGCUAGGAUUUAAACUCAGGUAGUUCACGUGCAGAUUUUGGAACAUAAGCUUUGCAAUAUUUCCACAGGUACAGCUAUAUGAAUGCAAUUGCUUAGAGAAAAGGUCAGAAGGAUACAUAACUAAACUGAAAAUAAUGGUUAUUUUUGGAGAAGAAUCAGGAAUUGGAGUUUGGGCAGGGUUAAACAUGCGGCCAUGUUUUGAAUUUUCUUUUCCCCCAAAUAUAAUCAUUUCAUGUUACUUCUGUUAAAUUUAUUAAAGAAUGAAUUUAAAAUAUUUAAAAAAAUCAAUCUUGGGGUCAGUGGAAGGGAUUUCAAAUAAAAUUACUAGAUUAUGCUCUUCUAAAUUUUGCAUUGACUUUGGUAUAUUUGAGAGCAGAAGGAUUAAUUGCGUUCAUCUUUUUCCUUGUCAGCCUUAUAACCUCUGAUGAAAUCUUAUCUCAGAAAUUAGAUAAAAAGCUAUUUCAGAUUUUAUCUGGACCAAUGGGAGGCAUAUUGGUAAAAGCAUUAUAUUUCAUAACUGAAAUGUCUUUCAUAGUUAGAAAUGGAAGCUCGGAUGGCCAUAUCAGAUCAAGUUUCAAGUACUGAACUAAAAAUCAAGAAGGGACUUGUCAUUUAAUUACAAAAAUGAAAAAAACUUAAAUUUUACUUUGUUUUUUAACUUUAUGGCUGCACCCACAGCUUAUGGAAGUUCCCAGGCCAGGGACUGAAUCCAAGCCACAGCUGUGACCUAUGCUGCAUAGUGGCAAUGGUGGAUCCUUUAAUCCACUCUGCCAGGCUGGGGAUCAAACCCUGACCUCUGCAGGCUGCAGUUGGAUUUUUUUGUUGUUGUUGUUUGUCUUUUUAGGGCCCCACCCUCGGCAUAUGGAAGUUCCCAGGCUAGGGGUUGAAUCAGAGCUGUCAGCUGCUGGCCUAUGCCACAGCCAUGGCAAUGCCAGAUCUGAGCCGGGUCUGCGACCUACAUCACAGCUCAUUGCUAGCCAGAUCCCCAACCCAUUGAGCAAGGCCAGGGAUGGAACCUGCACCCCCAUGGAUACUAGUCAGUUUUGUUAUCCCUGAGCCAUGAUGGGAAAUCCUGCAGUCAGAUUCUUAACCCACUGCACCAUGGCAGGAACUCCAAAAAUGAAAAAACUUUUAAAGUCUUAUAUGUGCUAAUAACUAGAAAAUAGUAGCACAUUAAGAGUUCUCCAGGAGUUCCUGUCAUCGCUCAGUGGAUAACAAAGCCGACUAGAAAACUUGAGGGAUCGGGUUCAAUCCCUGGCCUCGCUCAGUGGGUUAAAGAUCCUGUGUUGCCAUGAGCCGUGGGGUAAGUUGCAGACACAGCUCAGAUCUUGCAUUGCUGUGGCUGUGGUGUAGGCCAGCUGCUACAGCUCCAAUUUGACCCCUACCUAGCCUGGGAACCUCCAUAUGCCGUAGGUGUAGCCUUAAAAAGAAAAAAAAAAAAAANCCAGAGAAAAAGACCAAUAGGAGGAUAGAUAGAUAGAUAGAUAAAUAGGGAGAGAUAAUAUGUAAAUCUUUGAACAUAGAUCUAAAUCAUUGGAAAUUAUAUAUAUAUAAUCUAUAUAGCUGUAUCUCCCCUGUCUAUAUACUCUGAUCAAUAGCUAGAUAGAUAGAUAAAUGAAACAAUAAUUUAUUUCAAGGAGUUGUCUUACACAGUUGCGAGGGUUGGUAAACUUGAAAUCUAUAGGGCUGACCAGCUGGAAACUCAGGUAAAAGUUAAUGUCUCACUCUUGAGUCUGAAAUCUACAGGGCAGGUCAUUAGGUUUAAAACUCAGGAAGCAUUUCUGUGUUGCAGUCUUGAGGCAAAACUGCCUCUUUUUUGGGAAACCUCAGUCUUUACAAUUGAGGUCUUCAACUGGUUGGAUGAGGCUCACCCACAUUAUGGAGGAUAAUGUUUCACUUAAAGUCAGCUGAUUGUAAAUGUUAAAUUGCAAACAAAAAUACCUUCACAGCAACAGUAAGACUAGUUUUUGACCAAACAACUGGGUAUCAGAGACUAGCCAAGUUGACACAUAAUUAUCAUAAGUCAAGUCUAACUUGAACUAAAUUCUGACUGCUCAAGAAUAAAUGUUAGAUAUAUAUCAGUCUGGUGAUUUUUUUCACUUAGGAUUACUCUAAUUCUAAUUUAAGAGAGUCAGUCAUUUUGUGGAAAAUAUUUGAAUAGUACAUUCACACAUAUUUGGCCAUUCUAAUCGAUAGUUUUGCUUAACACAGGUUGGGUUGUGAGAUGAUUCUGAAUUAUUUCAUGGCAGUUGAAAUAAGGUUAACGAACAAUGCAUACAAAUCUGUGAAGCUGGAAGUUCUCAUCCUGGCUCAGCAGUUAACGAAUCUGACUAGCAUUCAUGAGGCCGCAGGUUUGAUCCCUGGCCUUGCUCAGUGGGUUAAGGAACUGGAGUUGCCGUGAGCUGUAGUGUAGGUUGCAGACAGGGCUCGGAUCCUGUGUUGCU